UACGUAGGGGGGCAAGCGUUUGUCCGGAAUUAUUGGGCGUAAAGAGCUCGUAGGCGGCUUGUCACGUCGAUUGUGAAAGCCCGAGGCUUAACCUCGGGUCUGCAGUCGAUACGGGCUAGCUAGAGUGUGGUAGGGGAGAUCGGAAUUCCUGGUGUAGCGGUGAAAUGCGCAGAUAUCAGGAGGAACACCGGUGGCGAAGGCGGAUCUCUGGGCCAUUACUGACGCUGAGGAGCGAAAGCGUGGGGAGCGAACAGG
rnacentral:rRNA from 1 species